GUCCUUUUGAAUUUAAUUUAAGGUCUGACCUGCCCAGUGAUUAAUUUAACGGCCGCGGUAUACUGACCGUGCAAAGGUAGCAUAAUCAUUAGUCUUUUAAAAGAGGGCUGGAAUGAAAGGUUUAACGAGGAAUUGACUGUCUCAUCUUAUUUGUUUUAGAAUUUAAUUUUUUGGUUAAAAAGCUAAAAUUUUAUUGGUAGACGAGAAGACCCUAUAGAUCUUUAUAUGUAAUUAAUUAUUUUUUUUUAUAUUAAUAUUUAUAUUUAAUUAUAUAUUUUGUUGGGGUGACAAAAAUAUAAGAUUAACUUUUUUAUUUAGUUUACAUUGAUUUAUGAAUAUUAGAUCCAUUAUUAUUGAUUGUUAGAUUAAGUUACCUUAGGGAUAACAGCGUAAUCCUCUUCCAGAGUUCAUAUUUACGAGGGGGCUUGCGACCUCGAUGUUGGAUUAAGAUAAUAGUUAGGUGUAGCCGCUUAAUUUAUAGGUCUGUUCGACCUUUAAUUUCUUACGUGAUCUGAGUUCA
rnacentral:rRNA from 2 species